rnacentral:rRNA from 1 species
UUGAUCCUGGCUCAGAAUCAACGCUGGCGGCGUGCCUAACACAUGCAAGUCGAACGGGAAAGUGGAGCAAUCCAUGAGUAUAGUGGCGACCGGGUGAGUUACACGUGACUAACCUACCUUCAAGUGGGGGAUAACCUCGGGAAACCGGGUCUAAUACCGCAUAAUAUCUUUGUGCUGAGAAAGCAGAGAUCAAAGGAGCUAUUCGCUGGAAGAGGGGGUCGCGGCUGAUUAGCUAGUUGGUGGGGUAAUUGCCCACCAAGGCUUUGAUCGGUAGCCGGCCUGAGAGGGCGCACGGCCACUCUGGAACUGAAACACGGUCCAGACUCCUACGGGAGGCAGCAGUGGGGAAUUUUGCGCAAUGGGGGAAACCCUGACGCAGCAACGCCGCGUGGAGGAUGAUGUCCCUUGGGACGUAAACUCCUUUCGACCGGGAAGAUUAUGACGGUACCUGUGGAAGAAGCCCCGGCUAACUUCGUGCCAGCAGCCGCGGUAAUAAGGU